UGACACGAUCGCGCCUCCCCGGUAUCCUCUCUGUGAACCUUUUUUUAUUAUCUAAUCACUACUAUGAUGUGUGGACUUUUACAAUUUUGAGGAGCUUGCGACUGAAUCUCUUGUAUAUUUUUCUGUUCUUCGAAAGUGCAGAAGUCCAGGUUGUUCCCCGAGCGAACGUGCACCCUCAACUCUGUAGUGCCUGAGAAGCCACAUGGAAGCCCAAUCGUGCGUGCGUUGGUGUCCCUUGAAUUCGUCAUGGAGGUUUUGAUUAGUUUGGGUUGGUUUCUGGCAUGCAAAUUUCACUCACUACACGUUCACUCACAACAAUAACUAUCUUGUUUCAGAUGCAGCGUCAGGCUGUUAUAACAACUUGUGUAGUAAGUAUAUCAGAGUAGCUAGCUUUGUGGAUCCUUCUCAGCAUUGCCACUUGCCUGGAUAUAUUGUCACUAAUUUACUAAUAAAUCAAGAUCCUCCUCACUGACAGGUCACUCCCCACUGCUCUACUCC
rnacentral:lncRNA from 1 species